rnacentral:lncRNA from 1 species
GUAGAAGCCCAAAUUUGCCCAGGCCCUACCAGCAAAAUAACACCAACCCACAAGCCCAAUUACAACCCAAACCCGAGGCCCAAAUUCGGAGCCCAAUUUCCCAAAAAAAACCCCAACUAGGGUUUCAGAAAAAUGAAACCCUAGCCAAGCCUAGCGCCGCACCCAUCCCUCUGCCGUUUGCCUUGUCCCAUCGCCACCCACCGUGCCUAGCUUCAUCAACACCUGCAAAAACAGAGCAGACACGCAAAAAGCAGCAACAAAUAAUAGAAAUAUAGAAAUAGAUGAGAUAUAAAAGCAAAAAAUAUGAUCUUUGUAACAACAACAACAACUGAAAUAAAAAACAAAAAAGGUUGACUCCAUUUUCUUUCUCUGUUCUUACAUUGCUAUUUUAUUUAUUUCUAUUUUAUUUUAUUUUAUUUUUUGUUUGUUUGAUUCCUUCUUUAUAACAAAAAGAAAAAGAAAAGAAAGGGGAUACUCACCGGUCUCGAAAGCCCGUCGCCGGAGACCACCUUCAGCGUUGGAAUCGGACUAAAAGGGAGUACGAAAAACCCCUCCUUUUCUGACUUUUCGGGACUAAAAGGAUAUUUUUUAGAAGGGUCGAGAUCGGGGUUCUAAAAAAUGACUUUUGGGUACCCCGACCACCGCCCGCGACGGCUGACGGCGAUCCCCACGCC